AAAACUCAACAGAGAAACGUGGGGACAUUUUUUUUUUGGAGCCAGCAGGGUAACGUAAACAAGCGUACCCGACAACACGGUGCAAGAAGAUAAGAAAAUAUUGUUUAUGUCAGUUGAAGUGCGGUUAAAUGGAGUUAGCAGACAGUGAGGAAUGAACUUCAAAUGACAAUAUUCACAACUUGGAUUCAUUUUUCUGAAAAAACGUUUUGAUUCUUUUGGUCGGUGGACCCUUACGGACUAAAGGAAUAUAAAUAAUUGAGAAAUGGACACAUAUUCUGAUUUUAUGACCGAUUCAUAGGUAGGGAGUGACCACUUUUUUGUCGUCUCUUGUUCACUAUGUCGGUAAAUGUGAAUGAAUUAUUCUUUGGUGCUCUUCUCCGUAAAAUGAACUGAACGACUGAACUGUGGAAAAUCUAACUAAUCUAACUUUGUGUAGCAUGUCCAUACUGACAAAAGUUAUCCGGCAUCUAAUUGAUCCUUCGUAAAGCCCCUUCCUAGAACGGCCUCUGUCCAAUCCUACGUUAGCAACCGUAACUAGGCACAGGAGGCCUGUCAAGCUUUCAGCGGUGCAUAUGUAACCUGCAUAAAUGUUAAGUUUAGCGGAGUUUUUAGAGGGGAGUGUCGUAUUUUUCCGCUUUUCCGAAGCCAAAAACGCAAGAAGAGUGAUGUCUGAUAUGGACUAAACAGUGUGGAAGACCUCACUCACAGCUGAAUCCAUCGCAGAUCAACAAAAACUCCUUUGUUUGCUCCGAGAAAUACGAGCAUCUCAAAUCUUUGUUGAAGUGGAGUUAUGUGAAACGGCAGAUAUAAACAGAAAGCAGACAAUGUGAAGGUUGAAGUUACCUUGUAUGAUGAGUUGAGCCUGGGCCUCAAUGGUUGCGUUGCCAUUGUCCGCCAUGCAGGUGUAGAUGCCGGCGUCCUCCUCUGUGAGAUUGGAGAUCUGGAUACUGCCUCCUCCCAGCAUCUCCACCCGACCCUCGCUGGAGACAGAAAGAGACCAAGACAAUUAGUUAGAUGUGUCUGAGAACAAGUCUUUCCUCUCGAUUCCUUUUUAUAAAUAGUAUUAAUGACCUUUGGGUCUUUGGCACAUGUUAACUCUCAGCAUCACAUGCAGGAGACCUCAAGCCUCAACAUCUUUUUUUUUUUUUUAACCAGACUUGUAAAAAGUCAUUACAAGCCAUUUCCAUGAAGCAUAUUCCCUUCUCGCUCAUUCAGAUCACUGAGUGGUAAAAGGUUGCAGCCUCUCUGGAGCUCCAUGCUCACCUCCUGGCCUGAGGUUGACUUCACAUCUGUCUCCGUUUACCAACUCUCUGAAUGAAUAAAAGAUUCUAAAAGGCCCUGAAAAAGGCAAUUUGCAAUUCAUUUUAACAACCACGAUUUAUGGACAGCUUGAGAAAUCUCGUAGCACAAACUAAUACAUGUAUCCAAAUCAUGCUGAAGCUACAGCUGGGACUUGUACUGUAGUUUGUACAGUGUCAGUAUUGCAGUUGUUACAUCGCCUUAACAAAUGUUUUCAUUUUCCUUCAACAGCUGGU